rnacentral:tRNA from 1 species
CGGGAUGUAGCGCAGUUUGGUAGCGCAAUUCGUUCGGGACGAAUGGGUCGCAGGUUCAAAUCCUGUCAUCCCGACCA